AGCGAACGCUGGCGGCAGGCCUAACACAUGCAAGUCGAACGAACCUUUCGGGGUUAGUGGCGGACGGGUGAGUAACACGUGGGAACGUGCCUUUAGGUUCGGAAUAACUCAGGGAAACUUGUGCUAAUACCGAAUGUGCCCUUCGGGGGAAAGAUUUAUCGCCUUUAGAGCGGCCCGCGUCUGAUUAGCUAGUUGGUUGAGGUAAUGGCUCACCAAGGCGACGAUCAGUAGCUGGUCUGAGAGGAUGAUCAGCCACAUUGGGACUGAGACACGGCCCAAACUCCUACGGGAGGCAGCAGUGGGGAAUCUUGCGCAAUGGGCGAAAGCCUGACGCAGCCAUGCCGCGUGAAUGAUGAAGGUCUUAGGAUUGUAAAAUUCUUUCACCGGGGACGAUAAUGACGGUACCCGGAGAAGAAGCCCCGGCUAACUCC
rnacentral:rRNA from 1 species